GACGAACGCUGGCGGCGUGCCUAAUACAUGCAAGUCGAGCGCAGGAAAUCAUCCGAACCUUUCGGGGGGACGUUGAUGGAAUGAGCGGCGGACGGGUGAGUAACACGUAAAGAACCUGCCCUCAGGUCUGGGAUAACCACGAGAAAUCGGGGCUAAUACCGGAUGGGUCAUCGGACCGCAUGGUCCGAGGAUGAAAGGCGCUUCGGCGUCGCCUGGGGAUGGCUUUGCGGUGCAUUAGCUAGUUGGUGGGGUAAUGGCCCACCAAGGCGACGAUGCAUAGCCGACCUGAGAGGGUGAUCGGCCACACUGGGACUGGGACACGGCCCAGACUCCUACGGGAGGCAGCAGUAGGGAAUCUUCCACAAUGGACGAAAGUCUGAUGGAGCAACGCCGCGUGAACGAUGAGGGCCUUCGGGUCGUAAAGUUCUGUUGUAAGGGAAGAACAAGUGCCGCAGGCAAUGGCGGCACCUUGACGGUACCUUGCGAGAAAGCCACGGCUAACUACGUGCCAGCAGCCGCGGUAA
rnacentral:rRNA from 1 species